UAUGUUCAUGUUAUUUCUUUGUAAUUUUUAGUGUUUGAUCUGAAAAAGGGUUGGAAAAGUAGGAAAUGAGUGUUUGUGAAUUGCUGCUGAUUUUUCUGACGUGAACAGUGAUUUCUGGCUCAUUUCCCAAUGAUUGACAGUGUUUUUAUAGUGACAAACUAGGGUUGGCUCUGGUACAAACAAAUGACCAAAAUGCCCCUGCAGCUGAGACUUGGAGAAAAAGAUUUGACAGAUAAAUAAAUAAAUAAAUAAAAAACAAAAUGAAUAAAAUAAAAUAAAAUAAAAAAAUAAAAAGAAAAGAAAAGAGAAGGAAAGAAAAGAAGUCACGUGAGUGACUUUUAUAAAAAUAAAGAAAAUAAAUAAUAAAAAACAAAACUAGCCUAAAAAAAAAGAAAGAAAGAAAGAAAAAAAAAAAAAAAUCGUCCCUUCGGAAUCCGACAUGAGGUACUUCAAAGUAUUCUCCCUGCCGAAAUUUUGGUUGAAAUGAUUAAUAAAAAAACGCCUUUUAAAAUACAAUUAGCCAUUUUAAAAUGACUUGCCUGUUAUGACUAAAAGGAUUAUAAAAUGCGUUUAUAAAAAUGCAAAUGGAGUGAUUUUAAAUGUUGUAGAAAAUGCAAGCGAGGACUUAAAUGCAAGAUGAAAGUUUUUUUUUUUUUUAAAUGAUUAAUGACGAAAAACACGAGUUUUAAAAGGUAAAAAAAACGAAUAAAAGAGCAGGUGGACUAUUAUAAAAUAUGGACAAAAAGAUUUCAAAUGGUCCAAAUUUGGGGUAUGACA
rnacentral:lncRNA from 1 species